rnacentral:rRNA from 1 species
CCUACGGGAGGCAGCAGUGGGGAAUUUUGCGCAAUGCUCGUAAGAGUGACGCAGCGACGCCGCGUGAAUGACGAAGGCCUUCGGGUCGUAAAGUUCUUUCGACAGGGAAGAAAAUGCCUAUAAGUAACUGUGUAUGUAUUGACGGUACCUGUAUAAGCAGCACCGGCUAAAUCCGUGCCAGCAGCCGCGGUAAUACGGAGGGGGCGAGCGUUGAUCGGAGUGACUGGGCGUAAAGAGCACGUAGGCGGUGUUGUAAGUCUUUAGUCAAAGACUAGAGCUCAACUUUAGUAAGGCUAGUGAUACUAUAAUACGAGAGUAUCAGAGAGGAUUGCAGAAUUCCUGGUGUAGCGGUGAAAUGCGUAGAUAUCAGGAGGAAUACCGUUAGCGAAGGCGGCAAUCUGGCUGGAAACUGACGCUGAGGUGCGAAAGCGUGGGUAGCAAACAGGAUUAGAUACCCUUGUAGUC